GCAGGGCGCGGGGCGGAGCCUCGGGUAUGAGAGAAACUGGAGGCCGAGACCCAGGAGCAAAGGACCGCAGGCGACAGAGGCUAGGAGAGGCUGUGCUGGGCCCAGGAGCGCAGAUCGCCGGAAGGAGGAUUCUCCAGCCCUGCGUUCCUGGACGAGAGAGGAGGGAGGUCCGCGGCCUGGGCAUCUCACAGAGCUGGUGGCAGUGUGUCCCGAGAGCUGGCUUGGUAAAGGACGAACUUCCGGGCAGGCUCGGUGUCAUUCUUGAUCUGGGAGCCAGUGGAGGCCUUGAGUUGAUGAUACCUUGGACCUGCAGAGUGGUCUGAAUCACCACGUGGAAGACAGCUCCUGGACAGCUGUCCCCCUGCAUCCUCCGUGGCAUGAGGAAUGAAGAGGAUCUGAUGACGUAGGAGACUCGAGGCCCCAGCCUCACCACCCGGAAUAUGACAAGAAUAUGAAAUGUCUGCUGACUUGGGAGUUUGCUUUUCCAUCUCCCAGCUCAGGGAAGAGGGCCGUGGUGCCUCUCUACAGCUCUCUGACUGAGAAUCACUACUACAGUCACUCUUGCUGGUAGGUAAGGAUUUGAAAGGCGAUUGGACAAUGAGGACACUAUAAUUGCUAUUAUCCUAGGAGGUGGGGCUUGCUCAGAAAGAGCAGGUUACUGGAGGCUUGGCCUGGAAGGGUAUGUCUCCCUCCUUGGCUCCUCCCUUGGCUCUUUACUUCCUGCCUACCAUGAGGUGAGCCCCUUUCCUCGGCCCAGGCCCUUCCACCAUUACAUUUCUACUUGGGGCCAAUUAACCAUGCAAAGACUGAAACUUCUGAAACAUGAGCCAAAUUAACUUCUUUACCUUUUAAUUGUGGGUGACAGGUAUUGCAUCUCAGCUAUGAGGAAAAUAAAACAGGGACUAUGCCCUGCAGUACAUAAACCUUUGGGGGACAAACCACAGCAAUAGUGAAGAAGGCCUUCUACCGGUCAAAGGCAUGGCCUGCCUUCACCGCUGAGAUUGUCUUGCCCAGAGAAGACCCCAGGAGUUGAGGAGAAAACAUCCUUUUUUUUCUUUUUGAAAGCUAAAUUUUGUUUUCAAGAAAUAAAAGAAUAUGAAAUUUCUUGAAUUUGAUAUUGUGGCUUAACAUGAAGAGUUGUUACAUGGCCAGGAGACCUGGACAAUCACGCAGCCUCAGGCCCUGAGGAGAGUCCUCUUUGGUUUCACACUGCUGGUGCAUCUUGAAUCUCUUCAUAAUUUUUAAACAAGGAGCUCCAUAUUUGCAUUUUGCAUUUAUGUGAAAAUUGCAUUUAUGUGCAAAUCCUACUACCAUACCUUCCUCCAGUGUCCUUCAGUUACAUAAGUUUGAAGACUUUUCUCUCUUGGGGAAAAUCCUCACUGAUAGAGCCUGAGCAGUUAAGGAGAGCAUUAGCCACUGGCCAAGCCAUACGUACCAUGACUGCCUUGGUUCUGCCUGCUAUAACAUUUGCGUGAUUCUCCUUCAUGAAAGUGGUUGUCACAUACAUCAUUUUUAAUGAAAAUAUAACCAAAUAUAAAUUUAAUAUGGUUUAUCUGAAAAUGAAAUGUGAAACCCAUGGUGGCACAUAGUAAAAUUAGCUGAGAUGAGAAGGAGGCUGCUCAUGGAAACAUAUUUGGGUGGAUUUCAGAAGAGAAGACUCGAGAAAUCCUGGGAGCUCUGUGAGUCACAGCCCACCCAGUCUCCUCCCAGUGACACAUUCCUGCCCAGCACUGGCAGCUCAGAACAUUCCUCCUACAGAGUCGGCCCCUGCUUGUUCCUUGGCUUUUCAUUUGGAGAGAUCUUUAGAAGUCAUCAAUCAGUCUGCCACAUUUGUCAUAUAUUUGGAGCUGAGUAGUUUGCUUUCAAAGUUGUCAGAUCCUGACAUUUGUGACAUUUUUGUAGUUUGUUCCUAGGUUCUUUGGGCUCAUAAGGACUCGUUUACACAAGAACAUUUUUCUCCAAGAUUCUGAAAUUCAUUCACCUUCAGCAUGAGGCUUUCAGAGUCACAGUGCAUGCUGAUCAUGCACAUACCCAAGGAUGUCAAAGGUACAAGUGUGACCAGGAGCCUGGCAGCUGAGGCACAUCCCUCCUACUCCAUCUCCUCUAUGCCCACAGCUGCUCACAUUCCAUUAGCUGCAGGUUUCUUUUUCUGUCAUGAAGUAAAGUCAUUACACAGCCAGAGAGUCGGUGUCCAGAUACGGUGCAGGGCCUGCUAAGCAAGACAAGCCAGCUGCCCUUGCACCUUCAAGGAACUGCAACCAGCAACAGUAGCUGAAUUUGAAUAAAUCCUUCUGAGCGUGCUUUCUAAUUGUUCUGCACUAAGUGUGCAUUACUUCUGUAACAUCUUCCUAAAGUAUAAGGAAUAAGGAUUGUCAUGAGUGCUAUAAAUGUAUAAAGUGCUCAUGUACAAAACACAUACCUGUUAGAAUUUCUUCAAGGUAUUAAAGGAAUUGCAAUCUCAACACUAGCAAGCAAACCCAGUCUGGGAACCAGCACCAUGUGUGGGCCCAAGUCUCUCCCAGUGAGUUCAGUGCCAUUCGUGGACCAGGGUUAGAGAGAACAAAGCCACGCCAGCAAGCAAGCCCAGUCUGGGAACCAGCACCAUUCGCAGGAUGCUGCCAGAUUGGAACAACCAGAACCUCCCAGCUCCUUCCAGUGCAUGAGCUGGCAAACAAGAAGUACCAAAUACCCCACACACACCCCACACCCCACACCUCCACCACCACCCCACCACCCCACCACCCCAUAAGCAAUUGGCUUAUCUGAAGAAACCCAGGCUGUGAUGAUAGCAAUGGAGGUGAAAUGCAAUUGGAUGCCUGUGGUACUUGGUUGUUUAAUAAUAUUGCAGGUCUAGAGGCAGUGGUCUAAUCACAGAGGAUAGCAGUAUACAGUGUGGCAUGUAGGGGGAUCUCCUUCUGAGGACUGCAGCCAUUGUUGAUUCCCUAUGGUCUUGAUUUGGAAGGUCUGUAUCAUUUCUAUUGUUUUGUUGGGUUGGGUUUUACUCUCUUUUGUUUUGUUUGAUUAUGUCAAAUCCGAUGGCAGAAGCAGCUAUUUCAAAGAUAGCAAGAUAUAUUAUGGUAGCAAUUUUGGAUUUACUAUUGUCUUGCAUUGAAGUCCUUUAUUGCAUUCAUUGUCUGGUUUUUAUUGUUUCUGUUCUGUUCUGUUUGAUUUUCACUAUAUCUGAAGCUAUCUGCAGGUAUUUUGAAGACAUCAAAAGGCAUUGUAUUAACCAUUGUUGAUUUCAUAAUGUUUUGAAGUCCUGUAUCUUUUACACUGGUUUGUUUUAUUCUCUUUUAUCCUCUUUAAAAUAAAUAAAUAAAUAAAUAAAACAAAAAAGA